ACCAAGCUGGUUCAGUCGGUAGAGCAUGUGACUCUUGAUCUCAGGGUUGUAAGUUCGAGGCCCACGCUGGGUG
rnacentral:tRNA from 1 species